ACGGAGGCAGCAGUGGGGAAUAUUGCACAAUGGGGGAAACCCUGAUGCAGCGACGCCGCGUGAGUGAAGAAGUAUUUCGGUAUGUAAAGCUCUAUCAGUAGGGAAGAAAAUGACGGUACCUAACUAAGAAGCCCCGGCUAACUACGUGCCAGCAGCCGCGGUAAUACGUAGGGGGCAAGCGUUAUCCGGAUUUACUGGGUGUAAAGGGAGCGUAGACGGUACGGCAAGUCUGAAGUGAAAUGUCGGGGCUCAACCCCGGAACUGCUUUGGAAACUGUCGAACUAGAGUGCAGGAGAGGUAAGUGGAAUUCCUAGUGUAGCGGUGAAAUGCGUAGAUAUUAGGAGGAACACCGGUGGCGAAGGCGGCUUACUGGACUGUAACUGACGUUGAGGCUCGAAAGCGUGGGGAGCAAACAGGAUUAGAUACCCUGGUA
rnacentral:rRNA from 1 species